CGGAAUUGAACGUCGGAAAAGACGAGUGUUUAUCCAUGAGUUGGUCGGAGUCUCUUCAAUACCAUCCCGAUGAUGAAGUGUACGUGAAUAGGACGUUAGAAGAGCUUCUCGAUAGGUACGUACGUACGCCUGAAUAUAUAUUAUUCCAUGCAUGAAUCUGAGCAUCGUUAAUUGAUAUUUAAUGAAUAAUGAAUUUGUGCGCGUAUAGGAGGCCUCAACUGGACAUAUCAUUCAAAGGAAAAUACGAUUUCGUGAAGAAACCAAUAGCCAUGGACGGAUUAAAGAAUAUGUGGUCAGAACUUAGUAGUACCGAUCAAAUAGUUCAUAUGGAGCUUGACCCAUCGGGAGGAAUGAUGCAUGAGAUUGC
rnacentral:lncRNA from 1 species